CAGCUCGUUUCGGAGCUGCAUGACCGUCUCAGCUUCGCUGUCCAUGCACUCCGAAAUGCUAGGGAAAGAGAAGUGUUGCUGACCAAGGCAGCUCUGAGUGCAGCACCUCUGAGUUGCCCCCGACCACUACAUCAUCAGGAGCUGAGGUGCAGGGUGAUCCAGAAGAGCAAGCUUGGACAUUUCUUGGACCGAAAACA